GCCAGCUAAGAACAUAACAAGCAGGGCACAUGGGCAGCGACUACCCCCACUCACAGCCAAAGCAGCAAAUACCUGCAGACAGCAUCCUCCCCUGCCUGGACUCAGCCUGAAAACCACAUCCUAAGGCUGCCACGUAUUUACUUGUAAAAUACUAUGCUAAAACCAGAGUGCAAAAUUAUGUGUUGGGCAUUCAAAGCUAUGUGAGGAUGAGGAGCAUACUUCUGGAGCAUCAGCUGAAUUCCACGGUGGAUCCCUUCAUGAGUCCAGUCUCUGCUCUUCCUAGGCACAUGGCCAGGACCCAGAGAUUCCCUCGGAGCUUCCUGGUGCACCCUCACCCAGCUGUAGACUAGAAGGAACCCCUCUGCCAUUUUUGCCACCUCAUCCAUCCAAUUAAGCGGGCUCUCGGGGAUGAGGGAAAACGGGCUGUUUCCUUGACAGCAAAUACUCUGACUGAAACAAUUAGUUUGUCUAUUUUAAAACUGAAUUCCAAUGCUUCCAUGGCAACCAAAGUUAUUAAAAGAUGUAAAUUAAAGUGUUGCACAGGAAAGAUGGCUUGGCAUAGAAGGCGCUUGUUUUGGGGAAAGAACACAAAGAACUUGAAACCAAGGGCAUCCCCCUACCUGGACGUGUGCUGCGAUCAGCUGGUGCACUGAAACGGCUCCAGCCAUCCGACAGCUCCUCC
rnacentral:lncRNA from 1 species